AGCAGCCGCGGUAAUUCCAGCUCCAAUAGCGUAUAUUAAAGUUGUUGCAGUUAAAAAGCUCGUAGUUGAACUUCGGGGUUCACCCAUUGGUCAGGCUUAAUUGUCUGCACUGGUGAGAUGAAUCUCUACCUUCUGAGGAACUUUCAUGCCAUUUAUUUGGUGUGAUUGGAAAUCAGGACUGUUACUUUGAAAAAUUAGAGUGUUUAAAGCAGGCUAACGUCUGAAUACAUUAGUAUGGAAUAAUGAAAUAGGACGGAUUGAUUCUAUUUCGUUGGUUUCUAGGAUCACCGUAAUGAUUAAUAGGGAUAGUUGGGGGCAUUAGUAUUCAAUUGUCAGAGGUGAAAUUCUUGGAUUUAUUGAAGACUAACUACUGCGAAAGCAUUUGCCAAGGAUGUUUUCAUUAAUCAAGACGAAAGUAGGGGAUCGAAGACGAUCAGAUACCGUCGUAGUCUUAACCAUAAACUAUGUCCGACUAGGGAUCGGACGCAGUUAAUUUUAUAAUGACGUGUUAC
rnacentral:rRNA from 1 species